UACAGAGGGGGCAAGCGUUGUUCGGAAUUACUGGGCGUAAAGGGCGCGUAGGCGGCCGCCUAAGUCAGACGUGAAAUCCCUCGGCUCAACCGGGAAACUGCGUCUGAUACUGGGUGGCUUGAAUUCGGGAGAGGGAUGCGGAAUUCCAGGUGUAGCGGUGAAAUGCGCAGAUAUCAGGAAGAACACCCGUGGCGAAGGCGGUUCUCUGGGACGGUACUGACGCUGAGACGCGAAAGCGUGGGGAGCGAACAGG
rnacentral:rRNA from 1 species